rnacentral:rRNA from 1 species
AUUGAACGCUGGCGGCAUGCCUUACACAUGCAAGUCGAACGGCAGCAUGAUCUAGCUUGCUAGAUUGAUGGCGAGUGGCGAACGGGUGAGUAAUACAUCGGAACGUGCCCUGUAGUGGGGGAUAACUAGUCGAAAGAUUAGCUAAUACCGCAUACGACCUGAGGGUGAAAGUGGGGGACCGCAAGGCCUCAUGCUAUAGGAGCGGCCGAUGUCUGAUUAGUUAGUUGGUGAGGUAAAGGCUCACCAAGGCGACGAUCAGUAGCUGGUCUGAGAGGACGAUCAGCCACACUAGGACUGGAACAGGGCCCAGACUCCUACGGGAGGCAGCAGUGGGGAAUGUUGGACAGUGGGCGAAAGCCUGAUCCAGCAAUGCCGCGUGUGUGAAGAAGGCCUUCGGGUUGUAAAGCACUUUUGUCCGGAAAGAAAUGGCUCUGGUUAAUACCUGGGGUCGAUGACGGUACCGGAAGAAUAAGGACCGGCUAACUACGUG